rnacentral:lncRNA from 1 species
UGGGUUCAAACAGAGUGACUCAGACCAUACACUCUUUCUUAAGCAUAAUGGAGGCAAAGUAACUGCAUUGAUAGUGUAUGUGGAUGACAUGAUUAUCACAGGGGAUGAUAAGAAGAGAUAUCCAGAAUUCAGAAACAGUUGGCAUCUGAGUACGAGAUAAAGAACUUGGGAGGCCUCAAGUAUUUCCUGGGAAUUGAAGUGGUUAGAUCAAGACAAGGCAUAUUCCUAUCCUAAAGAAAAUAUGUGAUAGACUUGCUGGCUGAGGUGGGGAUGUUGGAAUGUAAACCAGCGGAUACUCCUUAUCACUCAAAACCUUAAGCUGAGUGAGUGUUCAGAUCAAGUGCCAACGGAUAAAGGGAGAUAUCAAAAAUUAGUUGGCAAACUUAUAUACUUGUCUCAUACUCGUCCAGAUAUUGCCUAUGCCGUAAGUGUAGUUAGCCAGUUUAUGCAUAGCCCUAGCAAAGACCACAUGGAUGCUGUGACUCGAAUACUUCGAUAUCUAAAGUCCUCACCAGGGAGGGGACUGAUGUUUUCAAAGAAUGAUCACUUGAAAGUUGAUGGCUAUACAGAUGCAGAUUGGGAGGGGAACAUUUCAGAUAGGAGGUCUACCUCAGGCUACUUCAUGUUUGUAGGCGGUAAUCUCGUUACAUGGAGAAGUAAGAAGCAAAAAGUGGUAUCAUUAUCGAGUGCUGAAGCGGAGUUUCGUGGAAUGGCAAAAGGACUUUGUGAACUCCUCUGGAUCAGAAAACUGCUCACUGAACUUGGCUUUGCUCCUAUUACUGAGAUGGAUCUAUACUGUGACAACAAAGCUGCCAUUACAAUAUCUCAUGACCCGGUUCAACAUGAUAGAACAAAACAUGUGGAAAUAGAUCGACACUUCAUCAAGGAAAACUUGGUAGCAAAGACAAUUCGUUUCCCUUUUGUAAAGUCCGAGGAUCAACUAGCAGACAUACUCACAAAGGCAGUUUCAAGCAAGGACUUUCACAACUCACUUGACAAGUUGGGCAUCAGAGACCUGUAUGCAUCAACUUGAGGGGGAGUGUUGGCGUGAGUUGUUAGAAAUCUUUUUC